rnacentral:tRNA from 1 species
GCCCACAUGGUGAAACUAGGUAGACACGCAUGCUUCAGGUGCAUGUAUCUUUAUAAGAUGUGGAGGUUCAAAUCCUCUUGUGGGCA